AAGCCUUGGCACACCUUCGUGUGCUUCUCUAGAUUUGCAUUCUAGCGUGAGCCACCGCAAGGC
rnacentral:tRNA from 1 species